GACGGGGCCGCACAAGCGGUGGAGCAUGUGGUUUAAUUCGAUGGUACACGAGGAACCUUACCUACCCUUGACAUGUCCGGAAUCCCGAAGAGAUUUGGGAGUGCUCGCAAGAGAACCGGAACACAGGUGCUGCAUGGCUGUCGUCAGCUCGUGUCGUGAGAUGUUGGGUUAAGUCCCGCAACGAGCGCAACCCUUGUCAUUAGUUGCCAUCAUUUGGUUGGGCACUCUAAUGAGACUGCCGGUGACAAACCGGAGGAAGGUGGGGAUGACGUCAAGUCCUCAUGGCCCUUAUGGGUAGGGCUUCACACGUCAUACAAUGGUCGGUACAGAGGGUUGCCAACCCGCGAGGGGGAGCUAAUCCCACAAAGCCGAUCGUAGUCCGGAUCGCAGUCUGCAACUCGACUGCGUGAAGUCGGAAUCGCUAGUAAUCGUGGAUCAGCAUGUCACGGUGAAUACGUUCCCGGGUCUU
rnacentral:rRNA from 1 species